rnacentral:rRNA from 1 species
GACGGAGGGUGCAAACGUUGUUCGGAAUCACUGGGCUUAAAGCGUGUGUAGGCGGACUUCUAAGUGCCUUGUGAAAUCCCACGGCUCAACCGUGGAACUGCUGGGCAUACUGGGAGUCUUGGGCCAUUCAGGGGCAACUGGAACAAGCGGUGGAGCGGUGAAAUGCGUAGAUAUCGCUUGGAACGCCGAAGGUGAAAACAGGUUGCUGGGGAUGUGCCGACGCUGAGACACGAAAGCCAGGGGAGCAAACGGG